UACGUAGGGACCAAGCGUUGUUCGGAUUUACUGGGCGUAAAGGGCGCGUAGGCGGCCAGCACAAGUCAGUUGUGAAAUCUCCGAGCUUAACUCGGAAAGGUCAACUGAUACUGUGCGGCUAGAGUGCGGAAGGGGCACCGGAAUUCUUGGUGUAGCGGUGAAAUGCGUAGAUAUCAAGAGGAACACCUGCGGCGAAGGCGGGUUGCUGGGCCGACACGUGACGCUGAGGCGCGAAAGUCGGAGGGAGAACGGG
rnacentral:rRNA from 1 species